UGAGUUUGCUCUGUCUUGAUUGACUUCUAAUGACUCUUGAUAUGUGAGGAAGAGCCCUGGAAGAGGAAGAGGAAAGCAAAGGAGUCAGGGAUGGCUCUUCCUCAGGGUCUGUUGACAUUCAGGGAUGUGGCCAUAGAAUUCUCUCAGGAGGAGUGGAAAUGCCUGGACCCUGCUCAGAAGACUUUACACAGGGACGUGAUGUUGGAGAAUUACAGGAACCUGGUUUCCCUGGAUACCUCUUCCAUAUGCGUGAUGAAGGAGUUCUCAUCCACAGAGCAAGGCAAUACAGAAGUGUUCCGCACAGGGACAUUGCAAAGACAUGAAAGUCAUCACACUGGAGAUUUUUGCUUCCAGAAAACUGAGAAAAAUAUUCAUGACUUUGAGUUUCAGUGGCAAAAGGAUGAAAGAAAUAGUCGUGAAGUACCCAUGACGAAAAUCAAAAAGUUGACUGGUAGUAAAGACCGAUAUGAUGACAGGCCUUCUGGAAACAAGCCUACUGAAGAUCAGCUUGGAUUAAGCUUUCAUUCACAUCUGUCUAACCUGCACAUAUUUCAGAAUGAAGGGAAUAUUGAUAAUCAACUAGAGAAGUCUAUAAAUGAUGUUUCCUUAAUUUCAACUUCCCCAAGAAUUUUUUGUAGGCCCAAAACCCAUAUUUCUAAUUACUGUAGAAAUAAUUUGCUUCAUUCAUUACUGACAGAAAGAGAGGAGGUACACGUGAGAGAAAAGUCUUUGCAAUGUAAUGAGAGUGGCAAAGCCUUUAAUUGUAGCUCACUCUUAAGGGAACAUCAGAUAAUCCAUUUAGGAGAGAAACGAUAUGAAUGUGAUAUAUGUGGGAAGGUCUUUAAUCAGAAGCGAUACAUCGAACGCCAUCGUAGAUGUCACACUGGUGAGAAACCUUACAAGUGUAAUGAAUGUGGCAAGAGCUUCUGUCACAUCUCAGGCCUUCUAUUUCAUAAGAAAAUUCACACGGGAGAGAAACCUUACAAAUGUGAUGAAUGUGGCAAGGUUUUUAAUCAAAAAUCACACCUUACACGUCAUCAUAGACGUCAUACUGGAGAGAAACCUUACAGAUGUGAAGAAUGUGACAAAGUUUACACUCGCAAAUCAUACCUUGAAGUACAUAGGAGAAUUCAUACUGGAGAGAAACCAUAGAAAUGUAACUUUUGUGACAAGGCUUUUGGGUGUGCUUCACAUCUGGCAUGACAUACUAGAAUCCACACUGGAGAAAAACCUUACGAGUGUAAUGAGUGUGGCAGAGCCUUUAGUGGACAGUCAGCACUUAUUCAUCAUCAAUGAACUCAUACUGGAUAGAAACCGUAUAAAUGUAAUGAUUGUGGCAAGGUCUUCAGUCAGGCUUCAUCUUAUGCAAAACAUAGGAGAAUUCAUAGAGGAGGAAAACCUCACCAGUGUGAUAAUUGUGACAAAGCCUUUGUUUCACGUUCACACUUCGUUAGACAUCAGAGAAUCCAUACUGGACAGAAAUCCUACAAAUGUCAUAAGUGUGGCAAAGUCUUCAGUCUGGGGUUACUCUUGCAGAACACUGGAAAAUUCAUUCUUGAGAUAAUUGUUCCAAAUGCAAUGAGUAUAGCAACCCAUCAAGCAUUAAUUGACAUUAAUGUCAGUUCAGUAUCAAAUUGAGUUUGAGUUGACUCAACAUUGAGUUCAAGCAUUAAUUGACAUUAAAGUGUUUAUGUUAAGAGGAUUAAGCCAGGCAUGGUGGCUUUUUAUGAGCAUUGUGUUGAAUGUAAAUCACACUGGGCAAUAUAAUUAUUUAACAAUAUUUUUCCAAUCCAUCAAUAUGGGUUGUAUCUUUAUAUAUGUUUGUAAUCAAUAUUUGUAGAUUUCAAAGUACAAUCUUCUCAUCUUUUUACAUUUAUUCCUAAGUAUAUCUUACUUUAAGUCGUCUAGCAAAUGGAAGUGUUUUCUUAAUUUUCUUUUAAAAUUGUUUAUUGUUAAUGGAUGGAAAUUCAGCUAAGUUUUGCUACUGAUAACGGUAUUCUACAAAUACACUGAAUGUAUUUAUUAGUUAUAGUGGUAUUUUGGUUGACUGAUUUUCUACACAGAAAACCAUGUCACUACAAACAUUAUUUACUUCUUUCUGAUUUGGACAAGUUUUAUUUCUUUUGCUAUUUAAUUGCUCUGGCUAAGACAGCCAGUAUUUAUUGAUAGUGAGAGCAUUCUUGGAUCAUGUGAGAUCCUACAGAAAGAGCAUUCCAUUUUUUUUUUUUAAUUGGUUAUUUCCAUUGUGGUCAUUUCAUGGAGGGCCUUUAUAUUAUUUAGGUAAAUUUCCUUCUCUGUUUUGUUUAGGAUUUCUAUGAUGGCUGGAUGGUGAGUUUUGUGAAAUGCUUUUUUCCAUCUAUUGAGAUAAUGUUUUCAUCUUUCAUUCUGUUCAAGUGGCAUAUAUUGAUUUGCUUGAAUAUGUUGAAUCUUUUUUGCGUCCUAGAAAUAACUGGCAGUUGAAUAUCUAUGAUUCUUUUUAUAUCCUCUUGAAUACAAUUUGAUAGUAAAAGGGGUCUUCAAGAAGUUAAUGGAAAAAUACAUAAUAUGAGAAAAUUGUGCAUGAAUUUCAUACUUUUUGCACCAAAAUAAACUGGUACAGAUCUGUUAUAACAUUUCUGAACUGGCUUUAGUUUGAGGCACUCAGAUAAGAGAUGAGUUUGAAAAGGGACUCUAUCAAAGCAAUACGAUUUCUGCUAAAAUUGAAACAAGAAGAAACAACAAAUUUACAUUGAGGCAAGAACAACAAAGAAAACACCUCAAAUAGAUUACAGUGGGAUGGACGUGGUGACUCACCUGAAAUCCCAGCACUCUGGGAAGCCAAGGUGGGAAGAUUGCCGGAGUCCAGGAGUUCAAGGCUGGCCUGAGCAUCAUAGUGGGGCCUCACCUCUACAAAAUGUUUAAAAAUUACCCAGGUGUGGUUGUGAGGACCUGUGGCCACAGCUAGUUGGGAGGUGAGGUGGGAGGAUCCCUGGAUCCCAGAGGAUGAGAGUGCAGUGACCAGUGUUCCCACCACUGCAUCCCAGCAUGAGUGACAGAACUAUGUUUUGUCUCAAAAAAAAAAAAAA